ACAUGGGGGAGGCGCGCAUGGUUGAUGAUUAUGUUCUGGGUUGGCCAUUGAGAGGGAGGCCGAAGCAAACUCCGUCAGGUUUCAGGUGCACGCCCUCUGUCCCUGUUUUCGUCUCUGUAGCUAAACUUGAGAAUUGUACACUUUGGUAUAUAAAGUUAGUUGCUGAGUUUACAUGCAGUUAUGAAAGUUAGAGCACAUACAUGCUUGAUUUUACUUCCUUUAAUACAGGGCAUUCUAUAAUUACUAAGAACUGAUUUGUUUAAGUGUGCCUCCCUAUUUUGUCCAGAUAACUACUUCAGGUUAGGCGGGAGAAAUAAAAUGGGUAACCAUAGAUAUCUGGUCUAGCAUCACGAGGUUCAGUUAGAGAUUAAAGAAGACUGAAAUGAUGGGCUCGCAGCGAGGAUUGCUGUGUCCAACCUGUACAAGAAUGCCAAGAAGUCCUUCUCCGAGACGAUUAAGGACAUGUACCUGCCCUACAAUGAGAGAUCUGGGCCGCAUCUUUGUGGCUUCCAAACUUGAAAUGUUUGUUUGUAAGUUAGUUUAGUUUUUUGUUAUGGAUUCACAGCUUCUCACAUGUACCAUCCUCUUAGACCUUUAGAUUUCCAAAGAAACUAAAUGAAGAUAUCGUGGUAUGGUCUCAAUAGUACAACUUAAAGCUUUCCAUGCUUUAUAUUUUCUCUGAAAUUUGCUCUUGAAGAAUCAUGUAUCUAUGUUAGCUCCGGUGAGAAAAGGCGGCUUCCAAGCAGAGGAUGCGGGAGUGUUGGCCACAUUUGGUUUU